rnacentral:lncRNA from 1 species
UCAUAUUUAGCUGGAGGUUGACCACGGUAAGAACAAGGUGGAAGAUUAUAUUGAACAGUAGUAGACUCAAUGUUUGGUGUGCUGGUGGUUUCAGGCAGACAAGAAUCAAUUUCAUCUAAAUUAGUAUUAUCAGAGAUAGGAUCAGAAGGUACCUCUGAAGAGUCAAGUUGAACCUGUGGAGAAGAUUGAGCCAAUUGGUUAUGAUCAGAAGACAUUGUAUUAUCCAAAAAAGAAGUGUCCAUAUGAUCCUCACACGAUAAUAUAUAAUCAAACAUACUACCAUCAUGAUUAUGCACUUCACUUUCAUUGCCU